GAAUAGAUGCUUAGAAUUGGUAAAUGUGUGGAUGUGCCAAAACUUUCUCCAACUGAACAGAAACAAAACUGAACUUAUUAUCUUUGGGCCUAAAGAGGAACGAUCUAAGCAGGGGUG